rnacentral:rRNA from 1 species
UACGGAGACUGCAAGCGUUAUUCGGAUUCACUGGGCGUAAAGGGUGCGCAGGCGGCCGAGUGUGUUAGGCGUGAAAGCCUGGGGCUUAACCCCAGAAUUGCACCUAAAACUACACGGCUAGAGCAUUGGAGAGGGUAGCGGAAUUCACGGUGUAGCAGGGAAUGCGUAGAUAUCGUGAGGAACAACAGAGGCGAAGGCGGCUACCUAGACAAUUGCUGACGCUCAGGCACGAAAGCGUGGGGAGCAAAAGGG